GGAACUGUAGCUCAAUGGUAGAGUUUAUGCCUAGCAUGCAGGAGACUUUGGGUUCAAUCCUCAGCAGUAUCC
rnacentral:tRNA from 1 species